AGGAUGAACGCUGGCGGCGUGCUUAACACAUGCAAGUCGAACGGUGAACACGGAGCUUGCUCUGUGGGAUCAGUGGCGAACGGGUGAGUAACACGUGAGCAACCUGCCCCUGACUCUGGGAUAAGCGCUGGAAACGGCGUCUAAUACUGGAUAUGUGACGUGACCGCAUGGUCGGCGUCUGGAAAGAAUUUCGGUUGGGGAUGGGCUCGCGGCCUAUCAGCUUGUUGGUGAGGUAAUGGCUCACCAAGGCGUCGACGGGUAGCCGGCCUGAGAGGGUGACCGGCCACACUGGGACUGAGACACGGCCCAGACUCCUACGGGAGGCAGCAGUGGGGAAUAUUGCACAAUGGGCGCAAGCCUGAUGCAGCAACGCCGCGUGAGGGAUGACGGCCUUCGGGUUGUAAACCUCUUUUAGCAGGGAAGAAGCGAAAGUGACGGUACCUGCAGAAAAAGCACCGGCUAACUACGUGCCAGCAGCCGCGGUAAUACGUAGGGUGCAAGCGUUAUCCGGAAUUAUUGGGCGUAAAGAGCUCGUAGGCGGUUUGUCGCGUCUGCUGUGAAAUCUGGAGGCUCAACCUCCAGCCUGCAGUGGGUACGGGCAGACUAGAGUGCGGUAGGGGAGAUUGGAAUUCCUGGUGUAGCGGUGGAAUGCGCAGAUAUCAGGAGGAACACCGAUGGCGAAGGCAGAUCUCUGGGCCGUAACUGACGCUGAGGAGCGAAAGGGUGGGGAGCAAACAGGCUUAGAUACCCUGGUAGUCCACCCCGUAAACGUUGGGAACU
rnacentral:rRNA from 1 species